UACGGAGGGUGCGAGCGUUGUCCGGAAUCACUGGACGUAAAGGGCGCGUAGGCGGCAGGCCAAGCGUGCGGUGAAAGUCCGGGGCUCAACCCCGGAUCUGCCGUGCGGACUGGUUUGCUAGAGCACUGUAGAGGCGAGUGGAAUUCCGGGUGUAGCGGUGGAAUGCGUAGAGAUCCGGAAGAACACCGGUGGCGAAGGCGGCUCGCUGGGCAGUGGCUGACGCUGAGGCGCGACAGCGUGGGGAGCAAACAGG
rnacentral:rRNA from 1 species